GAAUCAGGUGUCCCCUAGAGUUCCCCCGAACACUUCAUUAAGAUCGAUGCAUAAGUUCUUUGUAUAUUAAAUGAUGAUUGCACCAUCUCUACUGAAGUGUUUGGGGGAACUCCGGGUGUCAUUUGAUC